rnacentral:tRNA from 1 species
UUCCCCGGCCAGGGAUUGAACCUGGGUCACGGCAGUGCAAGUGCCAAGUCCUAACCACUGGACCACCAGGGA